AUUGAACGCUGGCGGAAUACUUUACACAUGCAAGUCGAACGGCAGCACGGGGGCAACCCUGGUGGCGAGUGGCGAACGGGUGAGUAAUACAUCGGAACGUGCCCAGUCGUGGGGGAUAACGUAGCGAAAGCUACGCUAAUACCGCAUACGAACUUAGGUUGAAAGCGGGGGAUCGCAAGACCUCGCGCGAUUGGAGCGGCCGAUGGCAGAUUAGGUAGUUGGUGGGGUAAAGGCCUACCAAGCCGACGAUCUGUAGCUGGUCUGAGAGGACGACCAGCCACACUGGGACUGAGACACGGCCCAGACUCCUACGGGAGGCAGCAGUGGGGAAUUUUGGACAAUGGGCGCAAGCCUGAUCCAGCCAUUCCGCGUGCAGGAUGAAGGCCCUCGGGUUGUAAACUGCUUUUGUACGGAACGAAAAGGCUUUCUCUAAUACAGAGAGCUCAUGACGGUACCGUAAGAAUAAGCACCGGCUAACUACGUGCCAGCAGCCGCCGUAAGAC
rnacentral:rRNA from 1 species